GACGAACGCUGGCGGCGUGCUUAACACAUGCAAGUCGAACGGAAAGGCCCUGCUUUUGUGGGGUGCUCGAGUGGUGAACGGGUGAGUAACACGUGAGUAACCUGCCCUUGACUUUGGGAUAACUUCAGGAAACUGGGGCUAAUACCGGAUAGGAGCUCCUGCUGCAUGGUGGGGGUUGGAAAGUUUCGGCGGUUGGGGAUGGACUCGCGGCUUAUCAGCUUGUUGGUGGGGUAGUGGCUUACCAAGGCUUUGACGGGUAGCCGGCCUGAGAGGGUGACCGGCCACAUUGGGACUGAGAUACGGCCCAGACUUCUACGGGAGGCAGCAGUGGGGAAUAUUGCACAAUGGGCGGAAGCCUGAUGCAGCAACGCCGCGUGCGGGAUGACGGCCUUCGGGUUGUAAACCGCUUUCGCCUGUGACGAAGCGUGAGUGACGGUAAUGGGUAAAGAAGCACCGGCUAACUACGUG
rnacentral:rRNA from 1 species